rnacentral:rRNA from 1 species
GACGAACGCUGGCGGCGUGCUUAACACAUGCAAGUCGAACGGAAAGGCCCUGCUUUUGUGGGGUGCUCGAGUGGCGAACGGGUGAGUAACACGUGAGUAACCUGCCCUUGACUUUGGGAUAACUUCAGGAAACUGGGGCUAAUACCGGAUAGGAGCUCCUGCUGCAUGGUGGGGGUUGGAAAGUUUCGGCGGUUGGGGAUGGACUCGCGGCUUAUCAGCUUGUUGGUGGGGUAGUGGCUUACCAAGGCUUUGACGGGUAGCCGGCCUGAGAGGGUGACCGGCCACGUUGGGACUGAGAUACGGCCCAGACUCCUACGGGAGGCAGCAGUGGAGAAUAUUGCACAAUGGGCUGAAGCCUGAUGCAGCAACGCCGCGUGCGGGAUGACGGCCUUCGGGUUGUAAUCCGCUUUCGCCUGUGACGAAGCGUGAGUGACGGUAAUGGGUAAAGAAGCACCGGCUAACUACGUG